CAUAACAUCCUGCCUUUUAAGAGGUGGAGAUCAAAACUCAAAAGGAGCAAGACCUAGCACUCGAAGAGGGGCCCGCGUCCGAUUAGCUAGUUGGUGAGGUAACGGCUCACCAAGGCAACGAUCGGUAGCCGGCCUGAGAGGGCGGACGGCCACACUGGGACUGAGACACGGCCCAGACUCCUACGGGAGGCAGCAGUGGGGAAUUGUUCGCAAUGGGCGCAAGCCUGACGACGCAACGCCGCGUGGAGGAUGAAGAUCUUCGGUUCGUUUUUUUCCUUUCGAUCGAGACGAAUUCUCCUGGGGUAAACAACUCCGGGAGUUGACGGUACCGAGAGAAGAAGCCCCGGCUAACUCCGUGCCAGCAGCCGCGGUAAUACGGGGGGGGCAAGCGU
rnacentral:rRNA from 1 species